UACGGAAGGGGCGAGCGUUGUUCGGAAUCAUUGGGCGUAAAGCGCGCGCAGGCGGCUCGGAAAGUCGGAUGUGAAAACUCGGGGCUCAACCCCGGGCGUGCAUCCGAUACUGCCGGGCUUGAGGCAGGUAGGGGAGAUCGGAAUUCCUGGUGUAGCGGUGAAAUGUGUAGAGAUCGGGAGGAACACCGGUGGCGAAGGCGGGUCUCUGGGCAUCUCCUGACGCUGAGGCGCGAAAGCGUGGGGAGCAAACGGG
rnacentral:rRNA from 1 species